rnacentral:lncRNA from 1 species
AGCAAACUGCAGCCAUCCACAAGUGGAAAUUACCAGAAUGAUGACCUGUACAACCUCAGCAAAUCCUUCUUUUAACUCAUGGGUAUCAAGACUAUAAAUGUUUCAUGCUACCACAACUAGGACCUCACCUCCUCCUCCUCCUCUUUCUCUGUAAAUGGGUACGAUGCAUCCAGUUCAGUUUGUUUACUUUACACAAACCUCAGGAGUUAGUUGACUGAGCUGCACAUCCUGUGUUGUGCCAAGCAGAAGCACUGUGACACCUGGACAAUGAAUCUCUCUUACUUCAUCCUCUACCAUAAGGACUUAGCUGGCCACAAUGAACUGAUGUGCCCACCACUACAUCAUGACUCUUCAGGAUACAGCCCUCCUUCCACUGAAGUUGGUGGAAGAGUUCAGAGCAAGUUAAAUCACUGGAAGCCAUAG